GUAAUUUCGUUUUAUUUAUUUGAACAAAAAAAAGAUCUUAGUUCAUAUUACUUGAGGGAGUGUUUAAUUGUUCUUUCAUGCUAAAAUUAAAAAUUUAUUAUGGCAGUAGUGUGAUUAUGUUGUGAUUGAGGGAUAUCUGCCCAAGAAAUAUAAUUAUUCCUGCAUUAUAGUUUCACAAUGGUAAUUGUAGGAGAAGUGGAUAUUGAGGAAAAUAAAGGUUUAGAGGAUUCAUCAAUUAUGUUUAAGGGAGUUGUCUUUAGGUGUGUAAAAGAAUCGAAUGAGCUGAGUUAUGAAGAGCUCAGGCUUGGUUAACUAAAAUUUUUUCAAUCUCGAGCUAGCUCAUACUUGGUUUUUGGUAAAUGAUUGAAUAUCAAUAAGU
rnacentral:misc_RNA from 1 species